CUUCAUUUGUGUCUCGAUGGAUAGUUGGGUUAUUUCCAGUCUUUUUCUGCUUCAAACAAUGUUCUAAUGAGUAACCCUGUACAUGCCACUUUGUCCAGUAGGAGUGUAUCUGUAGGAUGAAUUUUUAGGUAUAGGAUUGUCAGGUCAGAUGAUGUGCACAUUAUACAAAAUACUGAUACGUUGCUGAAUGGUGCCAAGUGACCACCUUGGUGAUUGUGCUGAUUUAUAUUCUCAUUAACGAUGUAUAAUAAUUGUGUGGGAAAGGCUAAUGUUAUUGUGGUUAUCAGCCUGCUCCAGCAUGGAGUCUCCUGUGUCCUUUAAUAUCAGAUAAGCCCUCCUCAGUACCUUCUUUCAGCUGGCUUUUUUUAUGAGGAAUAUUAGAUCUUUUUGUCCUGAGGAAAACAAGCUGAAUGUUUUAUUAUUUGCUUUUUCCUCCAGUAUUUUCAGAAAAUGAGUGACUUCUCAGUGGAUAAAUCAGAAGGACGUUUUUCAAAGCUUAUUUCAACCCUCUGGUCAUCAACAUAGUUGACGCCUUGACUGUGGACACUAACGCUUUUCAUCUGCUCCAUCACUCUCCCGUAAUUCUUCCUGCCUGUGUGAAUUCCUGCUCAUUCUGGUCUGCUGUUGGAGUUACCCCUGGGAGAUUUCAUCCAUUUUCCGUGGCUUCAGUUACCGUCUGUACUCUGCUCCACUCUCUGCUGAUGGAACAGCACAGUCUUUGCAGAAGGCGAAGUACAGCUUCAGACACAGCGUCAGAAAACUCUUAUAGGAAAAACUUCAGUUAUGUUGCUUUCAGUUUACUGCCUGUUAAAUUUUUGCUUAAUAGAUCAUGAUCUUUGUGAAUUAAAUGAAUGCCCCUUGGAUCCUGGUGGCUACUUCAUUACUAAUGGAUCAGAAGGUAUAAUAGCAUUAUUAUUGUUUAAAUUACAAAAUUAAAUAAUUAAGAUUUAAAUUGUGAAAGUUAAAAAUAAAAAGUAAGGGAGUUCCCAUUGUAGCUCAAUGGUUAGCGAAUCCAACUCAGAACCAUGAGGUUUCGGGUUCGAUCCUGGCCUUGCUCAGUGGGUUAAGGAUCCGGCAUUGCCAUGAGCUGUGGUGUAGGUCGAGAUGCAACUUGGAUCCUGCGUUGCCAUGGCUGUGGCAUAGGCCGGCAGCCACAGCUCCAAAUGGACCCCUAGCCUGGGAACCUCCAUAUGCCACGGGUACGGCCAUAGAAAAGACAAAAAGAAAAAGUUUAAAAAAAUAUUAAGCUUCUAUGCAGGAUAAUCUGAAAGUGGCGGUUGAAUUAUUUAGGGGGUGACAGCUGAAUUUAUGUAGACCAAAAUUUUAUUUAACUGUGUAUAAUAUGCACUAGAAAUUUGGUCCGUUCUUUGAACUCGUAUGUUUCUAUGGAGCAUUUUUGCAAAACGGAGUUUGUAAAGUUUGAAAAUCGAUGUUUCGUGGAGUUCUCUUGUGGCGCGGUGGGUUAAGGAUCCAGCAUUGUCACUGCAUUGGUUUGGGUCGCUACUGUGGCAUGGGUUCAGAUUUGAUCCUUGGCCUGGGAACUUCCAAAUGCUGCAUGCACACUAUAUGAUGAGACUAAGAAGCAAAUUUCACUCUUUCUACUUCAGCGAUUGUGGGUUUUAAGGUUAUAACUUUUAUUGUUUACAUAGGUUCUGAUUGUUCAAGAGAAAAUGGCAACAGACACAGUCUAUGUGUUUGCCAAAAAGGACUCUAAAUGCCUACACAGGAGAGUAUAGAUCAUGUCUGGAGAAUUCUUCUCGACCUACCAGUACUAUCUGGGUUAGCAUGCUGGCCAGAGGAGGACAGGUAAGGGCUGUGGUAUGAUACUGUUUGGGUUUAUUACUUUUGGUCUAGUUUUGUAAGUUACCAGACUGUGUGCUUAGUCAGAAAGUCUUUCUGGAGCCUAUUAUUACUGUUGUAUGGUAGGCAUUUUAUUAUUUGUUUAUUGCUGUGUAAAAAAUUACUGUAGUAGCACCAUUCCUCAUGGCACAAUUUCUGGGUGUGGCUUAGCUGGGUCCUCUGGUCAAACACCUCUCAUGAUGCUGCAGAGGCUACAGUCAGGGCGUUUGUCUGAGGGCUGAUUUGCAUGGUGGGCAGCCAGAUCCAGUUCCUUGCUGCAGGGCUUCCUUCAUGCAGUGGCUGACAGCAGGCAGCUGGCAUGUCAGGGAGAGGGAGGGAGAGCCCUGGAACACACAGGCAAGAUGGAAAUCAUUGACUUUGGUGUCUUCAUCCUCAAAGCAGCGGCCUGUGGUCUUUGUGAGAUGCAAGUCAGCAUGUCCAGUUGAUACUCAAGAGCUAACAGUGUAAGAGUGGGCAGGGCUCACCAGGCACUAUCUCAGAAGCCACCUGUCCCAGGCAUGUUGCUUACGGCAAUGUAAUCUAAUAGCAGCUAGUGUUUUUCUGUUUUCGUUUUUGUUUUUGUUUUUGUCUUUUUGGGGCUGCCCCCACGACAUAUGGAGGUUCCCAGGCUAGGGGUUGAAUCGGAGCUACAGCCGCCAGCCUAGCCAUAUCCACAGCAGCACCAGAUCCGAGCCACAUCUGUGACCUGCACCACAGCUCACAGCAAUGCUGAAUCCUUAAGCCACUGAGCAAGGCCAGGGAUUGAACCCAUGUCCUCAUGGAUGCUAGUCAGGUUCAUUACUGCUGAACCACGAUGGGAACUUCUAACAUUUCUUGACUAUGUGCUGUGUGCAGGUUAUGUUACUCAGAUUGCUUGAUUUAAUCUUUACAACUAUGUUCGAAAUUUGUAAUUAACUAUUUAAUUCCAUGUAAAUUUUUUAUUAAAAAUUUAAAAAUUAAAAUAUAAAAAAUUUUUAAAAUGUCAUACAUGCACAUUAAAAUAGUUUGAAAAGUACAGAAAAGAAUACACUAUAAAAAGUAGUCUUCCUUUGACCCCUAGCUCUCUUCCCUAGAGGUA
rnacentral:lncRNA from 1 species